rnacentral:rRNA from 1 species
UACGUAGGGUGCGAGCGUUAUCCGGAAUUAUUGGGCGUAAAGAGCUCGUAGGUGGCUUGUCGCGUCUGCCGUGAAAGCCCAUGGCUUAACUAUGGGUCUGCGGUGGAUACGGGCAGGCUAGAGGCUGGUAGGGGCAAGCGGAAUUCCUGGUGUAGCGGUGAAAUGCGCAGAUAUCAGGAGGAACACCGGUGGCGAAGGCGGCUUGCUGGGCCAGUUCUGACGCUGAGGAGCGAAAGCGUGGGGAGCGAACAGG